UUCCAGAAAACGAGUGUGCAAGAAGUAUGUUGUAACUGAAGUGGCGUACUGCCUGCCACCCAAGAGGUUGCUCUGUAAGUGUGCCUUUCACCUCCUGCCAUGAUUCUGAGGCCUCCCUGGCCAUGUGGAACUGGAAAAUCUGGGUGCUUGGAAAGACACCAGAAGCACAUACACAGAAGAAAGAUCGUAUGAAGACACAACAAGAAGGUGACUAGCUGCAAGCCAAGAAGAGAGGCCUCCGAAGAAACCCAAUGUACUAGCACCUUGAUCUU